rnacentral:lncRNA from 1 species
AAUCUAUUCCCUUAUACUCAAUAUAACCAUAAAAUUUUCUAAGAAAUGCUCAGCAUCUUAUGUUUACUUCCAUGGGAGACUGACUUAGGCAUCGGAGGAUCCAUCGUUGGAGAACCCCCCAGUAUGAGGACUUUUCUAUCUUUGGUGGUGUUAUAGAAUCUGAUUCAGAUGAUCGACCAUGGAUUCGGGGCUAGCAUCCCACCUGGAGGUCUGGACCAACUGUCUUG